rnacentral:lncRNA from 1 species
CAUACAGACAGAUGAGUGGACGACUCCACACGUUCUGAAAGUCCUGUCCUGCCAACUUUGGCAGCGUUUGUGUUGUUAAGGUUUGGGUACCUAUUGCUACCUAUGGAUAUCAGUAUGGACCCAGUGGAAAAUAACAAUGAUGAUGAAAAUGAUAAUAGUUCAGGAGAACAGCAAAACCAGCCUGGAGGUGAGUCAGGUCUGAGGCUAACCUUGUCACAGGUUAGGAAGUCCUGGGGGUUCAGACGGACGACCAUUGCAAAAAGGGAGUUCAUGGACGAAGUUGGAAACCUCUGCAACAGUCCCCCACUUGUACGAAAAGGCAGAAAGCGUAAAACCAUUCAGACACCCCAGACCCCUCCAGAGAUCCAAACCUCACAGAGCACUGCUGGUACUGCUAGGAGUGUUUUAGAAGACCUCCAGUGGUCUGCCCCAUCCUCACCUGUCUCAAAUGAUAGCAAGCCAGCCUCAGAAGAAGCUUCUGUGGGAGGAAGCCUUGAUCCCAGCUCAUGGCAGGAUUUUGGGUCUGCCUUCCAAACCGCCUUUUCACUGCUUGGGGGGAAUGAAGGCCUGUCACUGACGAUGUCAGGUUCACUGACAUCCCCUGACAUUUUAGAGACCACCGAUGCUAUUGAAUCCCCUGAUCCACUGACUUUAGAGGAGCCUCCUGAUAAUAUGGAUGACAUGGAGAUUAUACAGCCGGUUGCCCCUGACGAUGUAGAAGAAACUGGGAUCAAUGAUGUAGUUUUGAUCUCUAGUCAAGAAGAGGACAGUGAUGACCUAAGUUUGAUGCAGAUUAAGGAGCAGCUUACUUCUGGUGGACUGAGUAACACAAAGGUUGCAGGGGGCAAAGGUGCAAAAGGAAAAGCCAGAG